GAAGCGCUGACGCGUCGCUACAUCUAAUGCAGAAAGCUAGCUUGUAAUUGUUGGCACAGUUGGUCAAGAAUGGUUCUCUUACCGGACUAUCUUGAACUUCUUGAUAAAGCCAAUGAAACUGAAGGCGAAUGUGUUAAAGACAGCGAGCCUCGGCCAUCUGACCCAACCAGUACCCUUCCUGCUGGACCCAAUAGACAUCUCACAGUCCAAAGCAGACAGCCCCGUCCAGCCAAGACUGUAUGCCACACAUCUCCUCAGACACUACAAGGAGCAAGGAUGAGAUCAUUUAGUGACACUUGGUCACUCAUGCAAAUCAGUCAUGCAAAUGGUUGGAAUAUUCAGCGAGCCAAGAUUCAUGUUUUUGUUAUGCGUCUCAAAUGUCUCUCAAUCUGUCUUUACCUCCAUGUCUGGUUUCCACAGUUGGAAAAAAGCCUUUUUCAAAGAUGCAGGCUUAAAGCUUCAUUGAAAGUCCA